AGGAAUAUUGGUCAAUGGGCGCGAGCCUGAACCAGCCAAGUAGCGUGAAGGAUGAAGGUCCUACGGAUUGUAAACUUCUUUUAUAAGGGAAUAAAGUCACCCACGUGUGGGUGUUUGUAUGUACCUUAUGAAUAAGCAUCGGCUAACUCCGUGCCAGCAGCCGCGGUAAUACGGAGGAUGCGAGCGUUAUCCGGAUUUAUUGGGUUUAAAGGGAGCGUAGACGGGUCGUUAAGUCAGCUGUGAAAGUUUGAGGCUCAACCGUAAAAUUGCAGUUGAUACUGGCGUCCUUGAGUACGGUUGAGGCAGGCGGAAUUCGUGGUGUAGCGGUGAAAUGCUUAGAUAUCACGAAGAACUCCGAUUGCGAAGGCAGCCUGCUAAGCUGCAACUGACAUUGAGGCUCGAAAGUGUGGGUAUCAAACAGGAUUAGAUACCCUGGUAGUCCACACGGUAAACGAUGAAUACUCGCUGUUUGCGAUAUACUGCAAGCGGCCAAGCGAAAGCGUUAAGUAUUCCACCUGGGGAGUACGCCGGCAACGGUGAAACUCAAAGGAAUUGACGGGGGCCCGCACAAGCGGAGGAACAUGUGGUUUAAUUCGAUGAUACGCGAGGAACCUUACCCGGGCUUAAAUUGCAGAUGAAUUACGGUGAAAGCCGUAAGCCGCAAGGCAUCUGUGAAGGUGCUGCAUGGUUGUCGUCAGCUCGUGCCGUGAGGUGUCGGCUUAAGUGCCAUAACGAGCGCAACCCUUGUUGUCAGUUACUAACAGGUUCCGCUGAGGACUCUGACAAGACUGCCAUCGUAAGAUGUGAGGAAGGUGGGGAUGACGUCAAAUCAGCACGGCCCUUACGUCCGGGGCUACACACGUGUUACAAUGGGGGGUACAGAGGGCCGCUACCACGCGAGUGGAUGCCAAUCCCCAAAACCUCUCUCAGUUCGGACUGGAGUCUGCAACCCGACUCCACGAAGCUGGAUUCGCUAGUAAUCGCGCAUCAGCCACGGCGCGGUGAAUACGUUCCCG
rnacentral:rRNA from 1 species